AAUCAAUGAAAAGACAAUACAUAAUAAUGCAUAUUUUAAAAUAACAUACAAACUUGUUUUGGCAGCAGUUCCACUUUUCUUGUUGAACUGCCGAAGUUGUUGUGCCUGCAUAACUGAACAGCAGAUCACCACAGAGCAUCUGUCAGUACAUUAAAACCCUAAAUAUUAAAGUCCCACAGCAAAGUGCAAGAGACCAAGCAGCUCACUGUGGUUUAAAAUACAACAGGUCAAAAAAACAAAAAACUACAGCACCUUUUGUCACACAGCUUUAUUUAGUUUAGUAGAAUUUGCUCAUCAGCUUCUACCUGAGAGGGCAGUGUUUGCCAGGGCAGCCAGACUGUCACAAGUCUGUGAGGCACACGCUGGAAGACGUCUCAAGAUAGACGCAACCUCUGAGCCCUGAACGAGACCGUCCGCCUCGCAGAUUCAUCACGAGGCUUCGACUCCUCUCAGACUCGGCCGUCUGGAGUCGAGUCUCACCGAGGAGCGAGUCCCACAGCAGACCUCUGCUGUAUAUCUGUCAGUACACAGGAAGCCCAUUAGCCCUGUGUGUUUGUGUGCUGCGUGAGAGGGAACAGGAAUGUGCCAAACCUCAACAGAGAUGUCUGUGUUGGGGUAUCUCCUGUAGAAGAUGGUUCUCAGGUUGAAUUCAGGGUUUCCGCUCUCCUUGAACACCCGCGUCCUGACGUUGUCGUUCUCACAUCUCACUACAGCGUAAACAUCGGGGGCUGUGGAACAAAAUCCAGCACGGUGUAAAGAAAGAAGGAAAGAAAACACCAAGGGAGAUAUGUGCAAUAAUUAACCCUUUAAGACCUACCAUAGAACCAAGUCCGCCAGAGCUUAUCUUUAUAUUUUUACAUGCUAUAGUGCCAUUUUUGGGAGCAUUUCAAUUUGCUAUACAUCAAUACAACCGUUAUAGCCCAAAUUUAUAAUAAUAUGAGUAUUACAUUAUAUGCAUUAAGUCCAUAGUAAUCUCUUAAAAACACCAGUAUAGGCUCAUAAGGUCUUGGAGGUAAAAAACCUACAUUUUCCGCGAAAAUGACGUCACUUCCAGUUUCGGCCAGGUCAUUUUUUUUUGGACGCAAUAAAAACCUAUACUUAGCCCAUUGGUACAGCUGUCUAUUUACAUUGGCUUGUGCUUUUUCUAUAUUCAGUUGUACACCCACAAUCCCAACUGUCACGGACUCAGCUCCAGGGAUUCAGGGUCCGUGGGCAGUGUGGACCACUAUUAUAAUCAUUGCUGUUAUUUUGUGAUGUGUGUGUUGUCUGCUCUGCUGCUGUUCUUGUAUUCCCCAUCCUUGUAUGUAUAGGCAAGUGGGUGUGUCUGUGAGUGUGGCUGAGUACUGGGUUCAGGUAGGCCUGGUGGGCGUGUCCUACCUAAAGGAUGGCCACACCUGAAGCAGAUGAUGACUCACACACCUGCAGCUAAUGGAGCGUCGUUGGGGAGCUUCUUAAGACUGUGGCUGAGCACUCCUCGGCGUGGGAUUGUUGUGUGAAACUCCACGAAGGAGCAGGGAAGACAAGAGCAGCGAGCACGGGGUGCGGGGACACACAGGAGCAGAAGAGCACGGAGCACGGACUUGUGGGUGAAGACACGACAUGGAAGUCAAGGGGAAAAACACGGGGUUGAUUCUGUGACUAUUUACACCACUGUAAAUAAACGCACUGCCU
ensembl:lncRNA